rnacentral:rRNA from 1 species
AUGCACGCUGGCGGCGUGCCUCAUACAUGCCAGUCGAGCGCACAGACGAGGAGCUUGCUCCUCUGACGUUAGCGGCGGACGGGUGGGUAACACGUGGAUAACCUACCUAUAAGACUGGGAUAACUUCGGGAAACCGGAGCUAAUACCGGAUAAUAUAUUGAACCGCAUGGUUCAAUAGUGAAAGACGGUUUUGCUGUCACUUAUAGAUGGAUCCGCGCCGCAUUAGCUAGUUGGUAAGGUAACGGCUUACCAAGGCAACGAUGCGUAGCCGACCUGAGAGGGUGAUCGGCCACACUGGAACUGAGACACGGUCCAGACUCCUACGGGAGGCAGCAGUAGGGAAUCUUCCGCAAUGGGCGAAAGCCUGACGGAGCAACGCCGCGUGAGUGAUGAAGGUCUUCGGAUCGUAAAACUCUGUUAUUAGGGAAGAACAAAUGUGUAAGUAACUAUGCACGUCUUGACGGUACCUAAUCAGAAAGCCACGGCUAACUACGUG